CCUACGGGUGGCAGCAGUGGGGAAUAUUGGACAAUGGGGGGAACCCUGAUCCAGCCAUGCCGCGUGUGUGAAGAAGGCCCUCGGGUUGUAAAGCACUUUCAGUGAGGAAGAACGCCUGGUGGUUAAUACCCAUCAGGAAUGACAUCACUCACAGAAGAAGCACCGGCUAACUCCGUGCCAGCAGCCGCGGUAAUACGGAGGGUGCGAGCGUUAAUCGGAAUUACUGGGCGUAAAGCGCGCGUAGGUGGCUUGAUAAGCCGGUUGUGAAAGCCCCGGGCUCAACCUGGGAACGGCAUCCGGAACUGUCAAGCUAGAGUGCAGGAGAGGACGGUAGAAUUCCCAGUGUAGCGGUGAAAUGCGUAGAGAUCGGGAGGAAUACCAGUGGCGAAGGCGGCCUUCUGGACUGACACUGACACUGAGGUGCGAAAGCGUGGGUAGCAAACAGGAUUAGAUACCCGGGUAGUC
rnacentral:rRNA from 1 species